AGUGAACGCUGGCGGUAGGCCUAACACAUGCAAGUCGAACGGCAGCACAGUAAGAGCUUGCUCUUACGGGUGGCGAGUGGCGGACGGGUGAGGAAUACAUCGGAAUCUACUUUUUCGUGGGGGAUAACGUAGGGAAACUUACGCUAAUACCGCAUACGACCUACGGGUGAAAGCAGGGGAUCUUCGGACCCUGCGCGAUUGAAUGAGCCGAUGUCGGAUUAGCUAGUUGGCGGGGUAAAGGCCCACCAAGGCGACGAUCCGUAGCUGGUCUGAGAGGAUGAUCAGCCACACUGGAACUGAGACACGGUCCAGACUCCUACGGGAGGCAGCAGUGGGGAGUAUUGGACAAUGGGCGCAAGCCUGAUCCAGCCAUACCGCGUGGGUGAAGAAGGCCUUCGGGUUGUAAAGCCCUUUUGUUGGGAAAGAAAAGCAGCAGGUUAAUACCCCGCUGUUCUGACGGUACCCAAAGAAUAAGCACCGGCUAACUUCGUG
rnacentral:rRNA from 1 species